rnacentral:rRNA from 1 species
GAUUUCUGGUUUGAUACAUUUUGCCGGCCACGGUUUCGUGUGUUAGUGCUUUAUGUUCUGACCAUCCUUCCAAUCGCUGCUCACUUUUCUUCAUUGAUUGGUGAGUGGUAUUGGAUCUUUUACUUUGAAAAAAUUAGAGUGUCUCAAGCAGGCUUUAUGCUAUGAAUACAUUAGCAUGGAAUAAUAAUUUAGGACUUCGGUUCUAUUUUGUUGGUUUCUAUAACUGAAGUAAUGAUUGAUAGGGAUAGUUGGGGGUGCUAGUAUUCAGAGGCCAGAGGUGAAAUUCUUGGAUUCUCUGAAGACUAACUUAUGCGAAAGCAUU